AGAAUCAACGCUGGCGGCGUGCCUAACACAUGCAAGUCGAACGCGAAAGCCCCGAAAGGGGCAAGUAGAGUGGCAAACGGGUGAGUAACACGUGGGUGACCUGCCUUCGAGCGGGGGAUAACGUCCCGAAAGGGACGCUAAUACCGCAUAACAUCCUGCCUUUGAAGAGGUGGAGAUCAAAGCUGGGGAUCGCAAGACCCGGCACUUGAAGAGGGGCCCGCGUCUGAUUAGCUAGUUGGUGGGGUAAUGGCCUACCAAGGCAACGAUCA
rnacentral:rRNA from 1 species